GGAGUCAGCCAAGACAAUCGCUGCCCGCUUCGGCGGGGGGAGGAAAGUCCGGGCUCCGAAGGGCAGGGUGCCAGGUAACGCCUGGGCGGCGCGAGCCGACGACAAGUGCAGCAGAGAGGAAACCGCCGAUGGCCCGUUUGUUCGUAAGAAUGAGUGGGAUCAGGUAAGGGUGAAAGGGUGCGGUAAGAGCGCACCGCAUGGCUGGUAACAGUUCAUGGCAAGGUAAACUCCACCCGGAGCAAGACCAAAUAGGGAUCCUUGGGGUGGCCCGCCUCGGAUCCGGGUAGGUUGCUUGAGACUAUGGGCGACUGUAGUCCUAGACGAAUGAUUGUCCACGACAGAACCCGGCUUAAUGGCUGACUCCACCU
rnacentral:RNase_P_RNA from 1 species